UACGUAGGGUGCGAGCGUUGUCCGGAAUUAUUGGGCGUAAAGAGCUCGUAGGCGGUGUGUCGCGUCGGUCGUGAAAACUUGGGGCUUAACUCUGAGCUUGCGGUCGAUACGGGCAUCACUGGAGUUCGGCAGGGGAGACUGGAAUUCCUGGUGCAGCGGUGAAAUGCGCAGAUAUCAGGAGGAACACCGGUGGAGCGAAGGCGG
rnacentral:rRNA from 1 species